GGGUGCGAUCAUACCAGCACUAAUGCACUGGAUCCCAUCAGAACUCUGCAGUUAAGCGUGCUUGCGCGAGAGAAGUACUAGGAUGGUGACCCUAUGGGAAGUCCUCGUGUUGCACCCC